rnacentral:tRNA from 2 species
GUUCUUGUAGCUUACACAAAGCAUGGCACUGAAGAUGCCAAGACGGCUGCCAACACGCACCCAAGAACA